rnacentral:misc_RNA from 1 species
UUCGGGUUGAACUUUGUAGGUAACGGCAUUAGUUUGUGUUUUAUAGUUGGUAAAAUGUCUUGUUGUAGCAUUGUGUUUCUCUGUGUGGCAACUGUUAAAAAGGGAAAAAUGACAAUUAUCUACUUGUCUUAGUUUUAGGAGAAUGGCUAUUUAGUGUAGUAACUUUAUUAACAGUGGCAAUAUUUAGGGUGAAAAAGGCCUCUUUUUG